UACGAAGGGUGCAAGCGUUACUCGGAAUUACUGGGCGUAAAGAGCUCGUAGGCGGCUUGGUAAGUCGGAUGUGAAACCUCCAGGCUCAACCUGGAGUCGCCAUCCGAUACUGCCAUGGCUAGAGUCCGGUAGGGGCCCACGGAACUCCUGGUGUAGCGGUGAAAUGCGCAGAUAUCAGGAAGAACACCGGUGGCGAAGGCGGUGGGCUGGGCCGGUACUGACGCUGAGGAGCGAAAGCGUGGGGAGCGAACAGG
rnacentral:rRNA from 1 species